rnacentral:rRNA from 1 species
UACGAGAGGCCCAAACGUUAUUCGGAUUUACUGGGCUUAAAGAGUUCGUAGGCGGCGCGGAAGGUAGGGUGUGAAAGCCCUCGGCUCAACCGAGGAAUUGCGCUCUAAACUACCGUGCUUGAGGAAGCUAGAGGUGAGCGGAACUGAUGGUGGAGCGGUGAAAUGCGUUGAUAUCAUCAGGAACACCGGAGGCGAAGGCGGCUCACUGGGGCUUUUCUGACGCUGAGGAACGAAAGCCAGGGGAGCGAACGGG